rnacentral:lncRNA from 1 species
GAUUUUCCAAUCCAGAAAGUAAUCAGACCAUGAAGAUUCCAAGGGUCUUGUCAUCAAUGAAAUUGUAUUGCUCGAGUAGUCGACUUGCUACUGUCCGGCUGCAGGCACUAGGCAAUUAACCAACCACCAAACGAGUCCUACAUUUUCCUUUAAUUAAUGCCAAAUUAAUCAGAUCAUGUCCCCAGUAUCCAUAGGUUGGUGGGUGCAAUUACUGAGUCUCACCAAAAUACACUAGUUAAUUAUUAAUGCCACUCAAUAAUACUCUUUCUCGUAGCAUCUUUUAUUUAUAGCCAGAUCGAUAGAGAGCAUUCAGUUUCAAAACAGAAGAACCAAAACCUGUAAAUGUAUGUUCUCUUGGCAUGCAUUUUAAUUUCAGGUUUCACACUUUUAAUUAAGAUUUCACUAAGCACCUAGUUUCCUUAGAAUUCAAUUCAUUGUAUCUGCAAGCCAAUAAUAAUUACUAUUAUUAUUAUUAUUCGCAUGCAAAAGAUAGUUUCUUUACAAGUUUUGUUUCUUACUAUAUUUUAUUUUUUGGUUAUAUGGUAGGUUGACUUGAGCAAUAAUAGAGCGGAAGCAGCUGCCUUUGCAGAACAAACUGAUACCAAACGAAGCAAGCAACAUUGGUAAGAUCAAGACUUUAAAAACUAUUCACAUCAUUAUAUGCUUAAUGAUGUAUCAGGAGUUAAUUUAACAAUUUUUCAAGAAAGGAUAUAGGAGAUAUGUAUAUAUGCUUCUCGUUUUUGCUUUUUUACUGUCUUUAUUUUUCUAUUCCGUUAAUUUAAUGGUGAAACAAAUUAUAUAUAUAUAUAUAUAUAUGUAUGCUUUUAUCGCUGCUAUUGAUUCCAAUUUCUUGCAUCGAAUGAGUACACCAUCAGGAGAAUUAUUUUUAUUUUCAUAAUCCAAUGGUUAAUGUUUCUUUUUAGUUAGUAUUUUUGUAGUAAGAUUCUUGUUUUUAUACUAACAGCUCAAUAUGUUUCUGAGUUGAUGUUUAAUGUUUGUUUGUUUUAGGUUUUACAUGGUGAAAAGGUGUUCGAUAUAGACUCAAACAAUUUUCAUUUGACGCUGAACCUCAAAGAAAUACAAAAUCAUUAGAUUUGAGGUCGUAUAUUAUCCUGCAACCCAUAAAAAUGAUACCACUGAGCCAUCGAGACUGAAUCUCUUAAAAAUAAUACUUCUGAAGAUUACAUAAUUAAUUUCAUGCGGAACGUUUCCUUUCAAUGUGUUUAUUUCCAAAUUUUAUAGAGAUGCCUAUAUGUCUGGUAAAUGAAUUUGAAAUACAAAUAAAUUUAGGUGACAAUCUUUGUGAGAAUUAUACAGUCCAUUCUUUUUAGCUUCAAUGGCCGAGGAUUUAUUUUUCAUUUCGGUCUUAAUGGUUCGAAUGUAAGCCAUCAAGUUUUAUUAUGUAGCCCCUGUGAGGUUGUUUGAGUUCAGGAUGUCUAGAGUCCUGAUGGGUUGUUGAAGUGAAACGAAUCAAGACUGGAAACUAUAGAGUUUAUAAUUUUUUACAAACUUAAAACCUCAAGCAAGUAAACUAAGACAUUUACUUGUGUAUUCAAAGGCCAUUUUGAGGAGACAAGCAUACAAAAUGAUAAAGGAUAGUGAGCAAAAGAAGGAAACGGAAGGGGGGAGAAUAAAAGAGGGGAGUGGGGUGUUACCUAGGGAGGAGGGCUACUUGCUUCUCUAUUAUGUUUUUCUUAGGGGCAGAAGGAUUUGGACAAGCUAAAAAAAAAAAAAAAAAAAGAGAAAUUCAUUCUUCAUGUUGGGAUUGGAUUUUAUUUUUGAGCUUUUCAUCUCUAUUUUUUGUUUUAAAUAGAAAUUAUUUAUUUUUAUUAUAGUAAAUUCAUAAACUGACUUGAGUGUCGGAGGGUUCACUCCGAAAAAACUUUCGGCACCUCUUACCUUUUUUGUGAUUUCAUGUAUUCGUAGGUUAAUCACUGGUGGUUGCAGACAUCUUGACAAUUGACCAGUCAAUUCUCCACCAGAUAAAUUUAAUGCUGGUGUAGGAAUUUGAUAUUAAGUCGCUAACCGACUAGAUCAGAUUUCGACAUCAACACAUAAUUAAAUAAUUAUUAAAACUAUGACAUGGAUUUAAUGAAAAUUUUACAAGUGAUGAAGAGAAAAAUCAAAAGAAUGACAGAAGUUGGGAAGCUUUCCAUGAUGAUGAUUAUGAAGAUUAGAAGCUGUAAUAUACGUUAAAGGAAGAUAUGGAUUGAUGACUAUUUAUUACAUUAAUUGCUAUAUUUAUUAUUGGGCAACCAGCAACAUUAAUGGCAGUUAUUAUGAUUUGGAAUUAACCAAUAUAUUGGUUACAAAAUUAUUUGUCUUAUCUUAUUUUUGCUGUUUUAAUAAAAUAAUCAGUUGGACAUAGUCCGAGUUUGACGUUUGAUAAAUUAUGUUGUUGAGAAUGCAUGUGCUAUGAAUUUCAAAAGUUGAAUGCCUAUAUUAGUUAUUAUUACGAGCUAAAGAGUUAUUUUAUUGUACAAUCAUCAAGAUAAACAUAAGUUACAAGCUCCCAAAACCUUAACAAAUAAACAUUUCGAAGAUAAAAGUACAACUUAAAAAUAAAUGAGCUUACUGGUUAGACCAAAAUUUUUGAUACUGCUAGAUAUGGGUUUGAUUGUAGUUGUGGACUAGCGGUUGUGUGUAGUUGUGGACUAGCCGUAACGAUAAUAUAUUAGAGCUAUGAUUUUAGAUAGAAAGUGCACUUGUUGGCAGUCGCAUACAUUGCAUAUUCAAUUAAGAAAUUUUGAACUAGCACACAAAUCUGGGCAUGUUGUUCAAGACACUAACAUUGAAACAUUUUGCAUAAUGUAGUUAAAGAGUGCCUAUAUCGUACAAAUUUUUUUUUACAUUUCUUCGGGCUCAAUCUUGCAAAUACAUUGAGCUGCUGGAGAUUUUCUAGACUCUCAUACCUAAAAAUUGAGGUGUCGAAACUGACAUG